rnacentral:rRNA from 1 species
AUUGAACGCUGGCGGCAUGCCUUACACAUGCAAGUCGAACGGCAGCACGGGAGCAAUCCUGGUGGCGAGUGGCGAACGGGUGAGUAAAGUAUCGGAGCGUGCCCAGUCGUGGGGGAUAACGUAGCGAAAGUUACGCUAAUACCGCAUACGAUCUAUGGAUGAAAGCGGGGGAUCGCAAGACCUCGCGCGAUUGGAGCGGCCGAUAUCAGAUUAGGUAGUUGGUGGGGUAAAGGCUCACCAAGCCGACGAUCUGUAGCUGGUCUGAGAGGACGACCAGCCAGACUGGGACUGAGACACGGCCCAGACUCCUACGGGAGGCAGCAGUGGGGAAUUUUGGACAAUGGGCGAAAGCCUGAUCCAGCCAUGCCGCGUGCAGGAUGAAGGCCUUCGGGUUGUAAACUGCUUUUGUACGGAACGAAAAGGUUUGGGCUAACAAGCUGAGCUCAUGACGGUACCGUAAGAAUAAGCACCGGCUAACUACGUGCCAGCCGCCGCAGUAA